CCAUUCAAAUUCAAACAUCUUUUGAAUUUGAAUGGCCAACCAAUUUCAUCCAUAUCCAUUCAAAAUGAUGCACAAAGAGAGAGUGUGGGAUGGCUUCUGUGUGGAAGAAAAUUCAUGAGAACUCAUUUCUCAUGAAUUCAAAUGGGCGCAGAUGAAGUGAGGUGGCGCAGGGAGAAAAGUCAAGGUGGUUUGAACCUAAUUGAGCCAACCUAAUCAAAAUAGGUUAAGCACAAUUAGACUAAGUUAAACCCAACUUAAUUAGACUUAAUUAAGCUCAAUAAAAUCUUAAUCA
rnacentral:lncRNA from 1 species